GCGGCGAAGGGAGAGUAACGCGUAGAUAUCUGCCUCGAGGCCCGGGAUAGCGGCGGGAAACUGCCGGUAAUACCGGAUAACAUCUCCGGAUCAAAGGUGUGAUUCCGCCUCGAGAUGAGUCUGCGUCCUAUUAAUGCUUGUUGGUGUGGUAACGGCGCACCAAGGCGAGGAUGGGUACCGGGUGUGAGAGCAUGGCCCGGCUCACUGGGACUGAGACACUGCCCAGACACCUACGGGUGGCUGCAGUCGAGAAUCUUCGGCAAUGGGCGAAAGCCUGACCGAGCGACGCCGCGUGCGGGAUGAAGGCCCUCGGGUUGUAAACCGCUGUCGUAGGGAGCAAAUCUCUUGGGGUUAUCCCCUUGAGUUGAGCGAUCUUCCAGGAAGUACGGGCUAAGUUCGUGCCAGCAGCCGCGGUAAGACGAACCGUACGAACGUUGGUCGGAAUCACUGGGCUUAAAGAGUCCGUAGGCGGCCGUGUAGGUGGGAUGUGAAAGCCCUCGUCUCAACCGAGGAAUUGCGUUCCAAACCACAUGGCUUGAGGAGGAUAGAGGUGAGCGGAACUGAUGGUGGAGCGGUGAAAUGCGUUGAUAUCAUCAGGAACACCAGAGGCGAAGGCGGCUCACUGGGUCCUUUCUGACGCUGAGGGACGAAGGCUAGGGGAGCAAACGGGAUUAGAUACCCCGGUAGUCCUAGCUGUAAACGAUGAGCACUAGAUCGAGGGGACUUCCACAUCUUCUCGGUCGUAGCGAAAGUGUUAGUGCUCCGCCUGGGGGAGUAUGGUCGCAAGGGCUGAAAC
rnacentral:rRNA from 1 species